rnacentral:rRNA from 1 species
UGGGGAAUAUUGCACAAUGGGGGAAACCCUGAUGCAGCGACGCCGCGUGAGCGAUGAAGUAUUUCGGUAUGUAAAGCUCUAUCAGCAGGGAAGAAAGUGACGGUACCUGACUAAGAAGCCCCGGCUAACUACGUGCCAGCAGCCGCGGUAAUACGUAGGGGGCAAGCGUUAUCCGGAUUUACUGGGUGUAAAGGGAGCGUAGACGGAAGUGCAAGUCUGAAGUGAAAGCCCGGGGCUCAACCCCGGACUGCUUUGGAAACUGUAUUUCUAGAGUGCUGGAGAGGUAAGUGGAAUUCCUAGUGUAGCGGUGAAAUGCGUAGAUAUUAGGAGGAACACCAGUGGCGAAGGCGGCUUUACUUGGACAGUGACUGACGUUGAGGCUCGAAAGCGUGGGGAGCAAACA